rnacentral:rRNA from 1 species
AAGCGGCAACAGCUCAAAUUUGAAAUCUGGCCCCGCUCGGGGUCCGAGUUGUAAUUUGUAGAGAGUGUUUCGGGUGAGACCACGGUCUAAGUCCAUUGGAACAUGGCGUCAUAGAGGGUGAGAAUCCCGUAUGUGACUGUGGCUCGAGCCCAUGUGAAGCCUCUUCGACGAGUCGAGUUGUUUGGGAAUGCAGCUCAAAAUGGGUGGUAAAUUUCAUCUAAAGCUAAAUACUGGCUGGAGACCGAUAGCGCACAAGUAGAGUGAUCGAAAGAUGAAAAGCACUUUGGAAAGAGAGUCAAAAAGUACGUGAAAUUGUUGAAAGGGAAGCGCUUGCAACCAGACCUGUCCGUAGGUGAUCAGCCGCUGUUCUCAGUGGUGCACUCGCUCUGCGAUCAGGCCAGCAUCGGUUCCGGCGGUCGGAUAAAGGCCUUGGGAAUGUAGCUCCUUUCGGGGAGUCUUAUAGCCCUCGGUGCAAUGCGGCCAGCCGGGACCGAGGACCGCGCUUCGGCUAGGAUGCUGGCGUAAUGGUUGUAAGCGACCCGUCUUGAAACACGGACCAAGGAGUCUAACAUCAAUGCGAGUGUUUGGGUGUCAAACCCAUGCGCGGAAUGAAAGUGAACGGAGGUGAGAACCCUUUAGGGCGCAUCAUCGACCGAUCCAGAUGUCUUCGGAUGGAUUUGAGUAUGAGCAUUGCUGUUGGGACCCGAAAGAUGGUGAACUAUGCCUGAAUAGGGUGAAGCCAGAGGAAACUCUGGUGGAGGCUCGCAGCGGUUCUGACGUGCAAAUCGAUCGUCAAAUUUGGGUAUAGGGUACGUUAUUUGUUUUUUUAGACAUUACUUAGGAUCAAUACUAACUCUUUGAUACAGGGCGAAAGACUAAUCGAACCAUUACCCCGGUAGUAAAGUAUACGCUACAGGUGGUUGAUAAGAGCAUCCCGCGUUGCGGCUUGCUCUCAGUCCUUCGGGGCGACAUCACUACUUGCAUGAACAGACCUUCGGGUUGACAUGCUGCAGUUCUCCCCACUCCUGUGGGCCUUCUGUUCACAGACCAAAUAGUGGUGGCCGGGCUCCUUCACGGGGAUGCCUGGUUUAGAAAUGGCCGAGUCCUACUCAUAAUCGAGUCGGUCCUGGGGACGGG